GUGGGGAAUAUUGGGCAAUGGGCGAAAGCCUGACCCAGCAACGCCGCGUGAAGGAAGAAGGUUUUCGGAUCGUAAACUUCUAUCCUUGGUGAAGAUAAUGACGGUAGCCAAGAAGGAAGCCCCGGCUAACUACGUGCCAGCAGCCGCGGUAAUACGUAGGGGGCAAGCGUUGUCCGGAAUGAUUGGGCGUAAAGGGCGCGUAGGCGGCCCGGUAAGUCUGAAGUGAAAGUCCUGCUUUUAAGGUGGGAAUUGCUUUGGAUACUGUCGGGCUUGAGUGCAGGAGAGGUAAGCGGAAUUCCCGGUGUAGCGGUGAAAUGCGUAGAGAUCGGGAGGAACACCAGUGGCGAAGGCGGCUUACUGGACUGUAACAGACGCUGAGGCGCGAAAGUGUGGGGAGCAAACAGGAUUAGAAACCCGUGUAGUCC
rnacentral:rRNA from 1 species